GUAGAUAUAGUUUAACUUAAAACAUUAGAUUGUGAUUCUAAAAACAGAGGUUAAAUUCCUCUUAUCCACC
rnacentral:tRNA from 1 species